rnacentral:rRNA from 1 species
UGGGGAAUCUUAGACAAUGGAGGAAACCCUGAUCUAGCCAUGCCGCGUGAGCGAUGAAGGCCUUAGGGUUGUAAAGCUCUUUCAGCUGGGAAGAUAAUGACGGUACCAGCAGAAGAAGCCCCGGCUAACUCCGUGCCAGCAGCCGCGGUAAUACGGAGGGGGCUAGCGUUGUUCGGAAUUACUGGGCGUAAAGCGCACGUAGGCGGAUUAGUCAGUCAGAGGUGAAAUCCCAGGGCUCAACCCUGGAACUGCCUUUGAUACUGCUAGUCUUGAGGUCGAGAGAGGUGAGUGGAAUUCCGAGUGUAGAGGUGAAAUUCGUAGAUAUUCGGAGGAACACCAGUGGCGAAGGCGGCUCACUGGCUCGAUACUGACGCUGAGGUGCGAAAGCGUGGGGAGCAAAACAGGAUUAGAUACCCUGGUAGUCCACGCCGUAAACGAUGAAUGCCAGUCGUCGGGUUGCAUGCAAUUCGGUGACACACCUAACGGAUUAAGCAUUCCGCCUGGGGAGUACGGUCGCAAGAUUAAAACUCAAAGGAAUUGACGGGGUCAUAGCUGUUUCCUG